rnacentral:rRNA from 1 species
GAUGGACGCUGGCGGCGUGCUUAACACAUGCAAGUCGAACGGUGAACACGGAGCUUGCUCUGUGGGAUCAGUGGCGAACGGGUGAGUAACACGUGAGCAACCUGCCCCUGACUCUGGGAUAAGCGCUGGAAACGGCGUCUAAUACUGGAUAUGUGACGUGACCGCAUGGUCUGCGUUUGGAAAGAUUUUUCGGUUGGGGAUGGGCUCGCGGCCUAUCAGCUUGUUGGUGAGGUAAUGGCUCACCAAGGCGUCGACGGGUAGCCGGCCUGAGAGGGUGACCGGCCACACUGGGACUGAGACACGGCCCAGACUCCUACGGGAGGCAGCAGUGGGGAAUAUUGCACAAUGGGCGCAAGCCUGAUGCAGCAACGCCGCGUGAGGGAUGACGGCCUUCGGGUUGUAAACCUCUUUUAGCAGGGAAGAAGCGAAAGUGACGGUACCUGCAGAAAAAGCGCCGGCUAACUACGUG